rnacentral:pre_miRNA from 1 species
AUAUAGAUGGUGUUCAGCACCAAGGACAGGUAUGUUUGCCUGUACAUAGAUGGUGUUCAGCACCAAAGACAGUGUACUUACUU